AUGAUGAUAACUGAAAGUCUUCUGUUUUAAUCUUCAUAGUGAUAAUUGUGUGUAAUUUGUUAUUUCUUUGUAGUUCAUUUGCACCUUUAGUUUCAUUAGGCCCUAAAAAUAAUACUGUAGUUGUCUGAUUUGGGAUCAGACUUGAUCUUGCUGGUGUCACUUUAUUACACUCAAUUUUAUGUUUAUUCUUGUUCAUCAAUUUAUAGUUUACUCAAAACAUUUUGAUCAAAAUAUUUUAUUUUAUUUAUGGUUUGGAUGUUUGUUUUGAUCUUGAUGUUAAUGCAGCUAAAUUCCUUAAAUGAAGUUUUUUAUGAGUAAAAAGUAGAAUUUGUUGUCAUAUAUAUGCAGAUGGAAUAUGAUGCAGAUUUGGUUUGAGUAGAAACGGCUUUGGUUCAAAUAAAUGAACGUUGAUCAGUGAGAGGUGAUCACACAACACAGAGAACUCCUACAUUCAUGUGUAAUACAGAGGAGUCAGAGAGCAGAGGAGGAAACAGAUUAACAUCCUCAGCUGCCUUCAGAUCAGACAGAAAACAGCUGAUCAACAUGUUAAUAAGACAUUCAUACAACACUGCACGCACAAUAGUUUCCAUCAGAAACAAGUAGUGAACACAACACUGACAUAUCAUCAGCUUUUAACUUGAUAUAUUGAACUUGUUAGCAAACAGUUGCUUAUUUGUUUAGGCUGCAAGCAACAAGUAUAUUAAUUAGUAAUGUAGUUGUUGCUUGUAAGGUGGAUGUGACUGAGCUGCUCAGGAGAACUGCAGGGUGUGAUGCCGUCGUCCUGGAUAAGUUUACAGUUCAGUCCAAUGGAAACCAGCGACCAGAGGAGGUCCGUCAGGACCUUCAGGACCUUCUCUGCAGGCCCGACCAUUUAUGAGAGUUACUAUCAUAACCAUAAACCCAGUAUCUGGAGCUAGAACUGGAUGUGUCGGCCUCUGCCUGUGCUUCUCCAUACGGCUCCACUCAUAGAAAACAUACAUGGCAUAAAUAUAGUGUGACAACAAAAUUAACCAAUCAAAAUUGACCAGGUGAUGUCAUCAUAUCAACC